rnacentral:rRNA from 1 species
ACGUAUGGAGCAAGCGUUAUCCGGAUUUACUGGGUGUAAAGGGAGCGUAGACGGCAGGGCAAGUCUGAUGUGAAAACCCGGGGCUCAACCCCGGGACUGCAUUGGAAACUGUCCGGCUGGAGUGCAGGAGAGGUAAGUGGAAUUCCUAGUGUAGCGGUGAAAUGCGUAGAUAUUAGGAGGAACACCAGUGGCGAAGGCGGCUUACUGGACUGUAACUGACGUUGAGGCUCGAAAGCGUGGGGAGCAAACAG